rnacentral:lncRNA from 1 species
UACUGCCUAUAAAUUCACUGCUCAUCUAGUGUCUUCCUCAUAAACCAAACCAAACCAACCAAACUUAACUAGCAGAUAACAAGCCUUCAAAAAAAAAAAACUAGCAGAUAACAAAGAAACAUGGCUGGAGGCAGAGAAUUCAAGGUGAGUACGAGGAAGCAAGAUGCGGUGGCCGCUGCACUGCCAUUGCAAGAGCACCGGCUACCACUCUCCAACCUCGACUUGCUUCUGCCACCAGUCGAUGUGGGAGUGUUCUUCUGCUACAAGAACCACAGCAGCCCCUCUGUGGCCGCCUCCAGGGUCGGGGUUCUGAAGAAGGGCUUGGCCCAAGCCCUGGUGACAUACUAUGCCUUUUCGGGUGAGGUGGUGGCCAACUCUGUUGGGGAGCCUGAGAUUCUGUGCAACAACCGUGGGGUUGAUUUCACUGAAGCUUUUGCUGACGUUGAACUUAAAGAGCUCAACCUUCAUAACCCUGAUGAGAGCAUUGAAGGAAAAUUGGUUCCCAACAAGAAGCAUGGGAUUCUGGCUGUCCAGGUUGAUAUCCGACUCCUGUUCCCUCUCACUUCAACGUUUUAAGUUUUGUUUUUUGUUUAUGAAAUUUGUAGUUUUGAACCAGAAGUUGACCCAUUUCCUCUAGCAGAAGUAAUCAAAUUUCUCUAGUUGAAUGUACAAAUUUGCAGGCAACUGAACUCAAGUGUGGAGGGAUGGUGGUGGCAUGCACAUUUGACCAUCGCAUAGCAGAUGCCUACUCAGCCAACAUGUUUCUGGUUUCAUGGGCAAAGAUGGCCAACUCAGAAUCUCCAGUCAUUAUCGUACCUUCUUUUCGUCGUUCUUUGUUAAACCCUCGCCGUCCCGGUCAGAUCCAUCCUUCCCUAAAUGACCUGUACGUCCCUGUCACAUCUCUGCCCCCUCCUCCCAAAAUGGAGACCAAUGAUCAUGAAGACCGACUUCUCAGUCGCAUAUACUACGUUAAAGCAGAGCAACUUAUCAAGCUCCAAGCACUUGCGAGCUCCAGUGGUUGCAAAAGGUCCAAGCUGGUGUCCUUUUCUGCAUUCUUGUGGAAAAUGGUUGCCGGAAGCGAAACCGGCAAUGAUGUCGAAAAAUUAUGCAAAAUGGGUAUUGUAGUUGACGGAAGGUCUAGAUUAGCCGAUGAAAAUAAGAUGGCUAGUUACUUUGGCAAUGUUUUGUCUAUUCCAUUCGGAGAUAAAGUAAUACAAGAGCUCAAUGAAAAAUCACUGAAUUGGGUAGCUGAUGAAGUUCAUGAGUUUCUGGAAUGUGCGGUAACGAAGGAACAUUUCUUAGGGCUGAUAGACUGGGUGGAGGCUCACCGCCCGGUGCCAGGCAUGGCCAAGAUAUGCUGCAGCGGAAGCGAAGAGGGUCCUGCUUUCGUGGUGUCCUCCGGCCAAAGGCUUCCGGUUUCUGAAGUGGAUUUCGGUUGGGGGGCACCGCUUUUUGGGUCGUACCAUUUUUCAUGGGGAGGCAGCUCCGGGUAUGUGAUGCCGAUGCCGAGUCCGGUGGGGAAUGGGGACUGGGUUGUGUACAUGCACAUGUUGAAAGGGCAGUUGGACGUGAUAGAGAAGGAGGGUGGUCAUGUGUUCAAGCCCUUGACUUAUGAUUAUCUUGUUUAAUUAAAUUUUAUUAUUGUAAGUAUUUAUAAUUACCAAAUGUUUAUCUCAAUAAUUCUGUAUACACGGAGAUUGAAGUUAAAUUCCUUCUAUAUUGUACCUUAUGUAUGAUCAAUCAGGUACCCAAUGUUUAGAAGAGGGUACCUCAAGUUAUGCUCAGUUUGACAGUUUAAUAUUUCCGUUAAUUUUUUCGUUAAAUAUAAGAGAAAAUUUUGAUUUAUGUCCUAUUUAUAAAUAUAGACAUAAAUAUAUUUGUUUUGUGGGUUAAAUGACCAUUAGUCUUGGGUCUUUAUUAUUUUCUAGGUCUUUUAGGAGCACAUGAACAUGAAUUAAUAUUUUUGGUUAGGUUGAUAUAAUAUGACAUAAUCUAAUUUUAUGUUAAAAAAAUAUGUAUUUGUGAUUUGACCACCUAUUACACUACUUUCAGUGAAUUAAUUCGAUAUAUCUCAGUGGAGUAGUCUUGUGAGUGUUUAGGUUACACCGACUAAAUUUCUUAAAUAUAAAAUUCAAUUAUGUUUGAAGAAAAUAUUAAUACAUCCUUAUAUAGAUAAAUAUUAAUUCAAUUUUUGGAUAUAUAGUGAAAUAUAUACAGUUGUCUUCCAGAGCAGGACACCACUUUGAAAUUAAAGCGUGGUGCUCCUCAUUUUGCUCACUUUCAGGUCGCAUUUCCACAACUGCACAUUUUAGUGUCUAAAUGUGUAGAUCAUUUCUGUAAAGUUUCAUCAAAUUUGGAGAUCAUUUGAGCUUCCGUAAUUGUGAUUUACACGAAUAGUUUUGUUCUGUUUGGACAGUUUUUGUUAUGUUGAUUUAUUGAAUCUAAUUCGGUACCCAAAUGAUCUACAAAUUAGAUGAAACUGUGUAGGAAUGAUAUACACACUAUGUUAUAGACAUAAUACGGUUAAUAUGUGAAAAUGCGACUUGAAAAUGAACGAAAUAAGAAGGUUCACACUUUAAUUUCAAAGAGAGACACCGCUCUAAAAGGAAAUUGUGUAUACACAUAUGUCAUAUGAGUGUUUAGGUGCUUGCUAUGCUCUAAAUUGGCUCUAACUUUCUCUUUCUUAUGAUAUAUAUGAUGCAAGUUUUACGGAGAUAUUAGUUUAAACUUCGGACAAAACUCUCCUACCUCAUCUUGAAAUCUACAACCCAUAUCUCUCUCUCUCUCNNNNNNNNNNNNNNNNNNNNUACUACUACUACUACUACUCUACUACUACUACUACUCUCUCUACUCUCUCUCUCUCUCUCUCUCUCUCUCUCUCUCUCUCUCUCUCUCUCUCUCUCUCUCUCUCUCUCUCUCCUCAGUUUCUUUUUAUCUUCUUCUUUCUCCGUCCUUGACCUUCUCUUUCUCUUUCUCUUUCUCAUCCCUUUCCCUUUUCUUAAUUUUCUUUCUCCCUUCCCCUGUUUGCCUUUUCUCUGUCUCCUUUUUCCCCCACGUACCGUCAACAAUGACCCAAAUCCUUCUUAUCUCACCACAAAAGAUAAGACCAGCCUACCAAAUAAUAUCAUUGUAGGUGACUGACAACCAAUAACUAUCAAUUUAGCUAUUUCUCAUGUCCAAAGCAAAGAUUCCGGGCUGCUAGCAGUUAGUAACUUAAUUAGUACGUACAUUGUUUAACGUAAGCAGUUGGCUAAGCUCAUUUCUCGUUUAGGCAUUACAGCUAGGGUCUUAAUAAGGCUUAAAAUUUGUGACAUUAAUCCUAUGUGUCAUGUUAUAUAAGUAUGUAAAAAUAUUUACUUCUGAUUCCAGAUAAUAUAUCUUACCAAAUCAUUAGAUUACAUUACAAAUUUGACCAUUUCUAUUUCCCUUUAGAUUUUAAGAGGUGAAUCAAUGAUAUUAAUGAACUUUAUUAGCCUCUGCAGCGAUGUGCCUCUUAUUAAAGACUUUUAACCUUGUAGGCAUUUGCAGCUGCUAUAUGUGAUCUCUGUCACUUUGGCAAUAUCUUUAAACCCAUCAGGCAUUGAAACUGUUAUGUUCUAGAUAUCGAUUAUGUGGGGAUUAGGAUGAGACAGAGUGGGGACAACCACGACAAUCCUUGUCGUUCUCUUAGAAAAUCAUUUUUCUUAUCUCCCCCUAACUACGAGAAGACUAUCUCAUCAAAGUGACAUUCCGCAAGUCUAGCGAUAAAGAGAUGACUUGUCAAGAGUUUCAAAUGGCGGAUAAUUAUUGGAGUUUCAUAUCCAACACAUAAAUAUUCGUUUCUGAGGACCCAAUUUUGAUGCGUUGUGGGGGUGCAAUAAGCACAUAUGUUGCACAACCAAGUAUGCGUAAAUCUUAGGCUCAUGUCUAGUUACCAACUGGUACACAGGGAAUGGUUGGCUAGGAGUGGGCUUAAAAAUGAAUAAGUAAGGUUGCAUGCAAUAUUGCAUAACCCCAAGCAGAUAUAGGCAAGUUGGUGCGCAUAACCAGUACCCUAGCCAUCAUUUAUGGUGCUUUCUGCGAGACCAUUUUUGUAUGCAAAUGGGGUACAAGAUGCUCUACAUUGAUCAUGAUAGACAUACAAUAACCAUCAAAUCCUUUUGAUGUGAACUCUCAUCAUUGUCAAGUCCUAUAGACUUGGUGAUUAGGGUGAUAAGCCCUUAAACACAUAAUAUUUGCUAAGAGUUUUGCAAAUGUAGUAUUUCUUGUGAAUAAUAAUUCGACAUAUGACUAGUGUGUCGAUACGUCCUCUAGAUACAUAAUGUACUUUAAUGGUCCGCAUUUCUGGAUGGAUAAGUCCACAGUCAUCACAUUGUAUUCUUUGUAAGAAUGGAAUAUAUUGGUUUAUAUCUUUAGCAUAAGGAGGUCUCGAUCUUAUUUUUUUGCUAAAGUAUAGACUUUGCAAAACGAGUAAUUUUGCCUUUGAAAUAAUCAAUAAGGCAUAAUGGGAGGCAUGUUGUGUAUCACGUGCUUUAGAGUGCAAUGACCGCAUUAUAGCAACAUUAGCUAGAACUGGCCAGUGUCUGGUGGUCAGAGUCGGUGUCGUCACCUUGCAGGGUAACAGAGUUUUGUCCCAUUUUAUUAUUCACUCAAAGGAUAGGAUAUCCGUGUGAGUUCUUUAAAAUACGAAUCAUCAUGUCAUGACCAAGAAGUUUCUUGGUGGUCAUGCUAAAGUCUGUGUAAGUCCCUAUCCCAUGUUUCAAUGUAGGUGACUAGUUAGAUUUUUUAAAAUGCGUGUCCUACCACAUUUUAUUUAAGGUAAUAUCAUUCCAUUCUCACAUUAGAUUUUCAUAUGAUGAUCGUUGGUACGAAUUUCUUGAAACUUUAACAUGGUUUGAUUAGUGUGGUUAAUUCCACUGUCAGCCAAGCACUUGGUUUUCUUCUCGAUACAUUCCUUACAAGUAUAUAAGAGUUUAUUAAAAUAUACCUCGUAUUCUUUGGAGUAUUUCGAGUCUCAUCUAGCGUCCUCCUCACAAAUAAACCAAACAUACUUAGCAAAUAACAAAGAAAUUAUCCAAAAAAAAAAAAAAAAGCAAAUAACAAAGAAACACGCGUACAUGACCAACUUACUGCACCGGCUAGAUUAUAGAUUCAGAUCACUAGAUUACGAACCCUGCACAAUAGUUCCGAGUCAGAAGUAGAAUUUUUCUCUACUGUAACAACGGAGAAAAAGUAGAAACCAGCCCCCCGGCAAGCAACAUUGUAACAACCCUUAUUUGUUUUCAUUGUUCAUUGUAGGUCAUGACUCGCAAUCAAUAACUGCCAAGUUUAGUUAUUUCUCAUGUCCAAAGAUUCUGGGUUGUCGAACCCAUACAUAAUAAGUUAGUUCAUUGUUCAACGGAAGUACGUAGCUGGCUAAGCUCAGUUCUCCUUUUUCCCUUCCACAAGCCUACCUAUAUUUUUUAUUUUUAUUUUGAGGCAAAAACCUAUAAGUUUAUCAAAUUUAUGUAUUUUUGAUCGUCAACAUAAUUCAACAUCAAAUGAUAAUUAAGUAUAUAAAGGUUUUGAUUAGUUGAUUCAAACUUAAGCCAUUUAAGAACAUGUUCCAAUCAGAUUGUGCUGAACAAAUUGAUGUAAUGAAUGAUUAUAUAUAGCUGAGUUUCAGCAUUAUGUUCUUAGAAAUGUUAUUUCACUCUCUAAAUUAACUUCCUCGUCUAGCUAGUCCUCCUCACAAACCAAAGCAUACCAAACCAAACGAAACCAAACACAAUUAGCAAAUAAUAAAGAAACACAUGACUAACUUACUAGUUACUACACCAGAUUAUAGACUCCGAUCACUAUAUUACCAACACUGUAAAUGCAUAACGGUUCUCAUAAGAAGAAGAAGAAGUUUCCUCCACUGUAACCACUAGCUGGCUCCAGUGGUCCAGGUCUCCAGGAACUAACAAAUAUGCAAGUUGAAUUAACUCCUUACUUUGGUUUGCUGUUCAGAUAAUAGCUUAUAAGUUAUAAUUAAAUUUAGCCUUACCUCAAAUCGUCAUUGUCGCGGACUCACAUGAACUAGUUGUUUAAGUUAAUUUAUUACCACACCAACUUUUCCAAAGAUGUGAGCCUAUAUAAGUAAUCCAGAAGAAGUUGGUACAUUGUGAUGAAAAGGUAAAUAGUUUGGUAGCUCGAUAUUUUAUUGCUUAAGUUGCUUUCACCUCUAAAACCUACCCAUGCAGCUCAGCUUACUGCUUAUUGCUAUACUAAUCAAGGCCCAUUUAGGAUAACUUCGAUUUAAAAAAAAAAAAAUUAGGAGUGUUUGGUAAAUCUAAAAUGGAUCAGUUUUUAGAAGCAACAUCGAUGUAAGCAAUCAUCUAGAUUCACCCCUUAAAGGAAAAAGAAAUGGUAAAACUGGUAAUGCAAGCUUAUAAUUUGACAAGAUGAAAAAAAAAAAAAACUUAUGAUUUGACAAGAUAAAUUAUGUGAAAUCAGAAAUAAAUAAUUUUACAUACUUACGUGACAAUACUUACAUGACAUGAUUAAUGUCACAAAUUUUAGGCCUAAAAUCCUAUAUCAGUGCUCUUUCUCGAUUGAAAUUUGCAUCGUAACAGGUGUAAUAGUAUUACAAAGAACUACCAACCUGAUUUGGUGAACACAUUUAAUUAAUUAAUAAUUACAGUGAGUUUUAGUUAGGAAUAUUAUUCCACUCUCGAACUACACACUGCCUAUAAAUUCACUCCUCAUCUAGUGUCUUCCUCAUAAACCAAACCAAACCAACCAAACUUAACUAGCAGAUAACAAAGAAACAUGGCUGGAGGCAGAGAAUUCAAGGUGAGUACGAGGAAGCAAGAAGUGGUGGCCGCUGCACUGCCAUUGCAAGAGCACUGGCUACCACUCUCCAACCUCGACUUGCUUCUGCCACCAGUCGAUGUGGGAGUGUUCUUCUGCUACAAGAACCACAGCAGCCCCUCUGUGGCCGCCUCCAGGGUCGGGGUUCUGAAGAAGGGCUUGGCCCAAGCCCUGGUGACAUACUAUGCCUUUUCGGGUGAGGU